rnacentral:hammerhead_ribozyme from 1 species
AUCCAGUUGAUGGGUCCCAAAUAGGACGAAAUGCGUUUUAUCCUGGAU